rnacentral:rRNA from 1 species
UACAGAGGUCUCAAGCGUUGUUCGGAUUCAUUGGGCGUAAAGGGUGCGUAGGUGGCGCCGUAAGUCGGGGGUGAAAUCCUGCGGCUUAACCGCAGGGCUGCCUUCUAAACUGUCGGGCUCGAGCACGGUAGAGGCAGAUGGAAUUCCCGGUGUAGCGGUGGAAUGCGUAGAGAUCGGGAGGAACACCCGUGGCGAAGGCGGCCUGCUGGGCCGAUCCUGACGCUGGAGGCGCGAAGGCGUGGGGAGCGAACGGG